AACGAACGCUGGCGGCAGGCUUAACACAUGCAAGUCGAACGCCCCGCAAGGGGAGUGGCAGACGGGUGAGUAACGCGUGGGAAUCUACCUAGGUCUACGGAACAACAGAGGGAAACUUCUGCUAAUACCGUAUACGCCCUAUGGGGGAAAGAUUUAUCGGAAUUAGAUGAGCCCGCGUAAGAUUAGCUAGUUGGUGAGGUAAUGGCUCACCAAGGCGACGAUCUUUAGCUGGUCUGAGAGGAUGAUCAGCCACACUGGGACUGAGACACGGCCCAGACUCCUACGGGAGGCAGCAGUGGGGAAUAUUGGACAAUGGGCGCAAGCCUGAUCCAGCCAUGCCGCGUGAGUGAUGAAGGCCUUAGGGUUGUAAAGCUCUUUCAGUGGGGAAGAUAAUGACGGUACCCACAGAAGAAGCCCCGGCUAACUUCGUGCCAGCAGCCGCAGUAA
rnacentral:rRNA from 1 species